rnacentral:rRNA from 1 species
UACGUAGGGUGCAAGCGUUAAUCGGAAUUACUGGGCGUAAAGCGUGCGCAGGCGGUUUUGUAAGUUUGUCGUGAAAGCCCCGGGCUCAACCUGGGAAUUGCGAUGAAGACUGCAAGGCUUGAAUCUGGCAGAGGGGGGUAGAAUUCCACGUGUAGCAGUGAAAUGCGUAGAGAUGUGGAGGAACACCGAUGGCGAAGGCAGCCCCCUGGGUCAAGAUUGACGCUCACGCACGAAAGCGUGGGGAGCAAACAGG